rnacentral:rRNA from 1 species
GCCGCGUGUGUGAAGAAGGCUUUCGGGUUGUAAAGCACUUUCAGUGAGGAGGAAGGCCUUAACGCUAAUACCGUUGAGGAUUGACGUUACUCACAGAAGAAGCACCGGCUAACUCCGUGCCAGCAGCCGCGGUAAUACGGAGGGUGCAAGCGUUAAUCGGAAUUACUGGGCGUAAAGCGCGCGUAGGUGGUUGAGUAAGCGAGAUGUGAAAGCCCCGGGCUUAACCUGGGAACGGCAUUUCGAACUGCUUGGCUAGAGUGUGGUAGAGGGUAGUGGAAUUUCCUGUGUAGCGGUGAAAUGCGUAGAUAUAGGAAGGAACACCAGUGGCGAAGGCGGCUACCUGGACCAACACUGACACUGAGGUGCGAAAGCGUGGGGAGCAAACGGGAUUAGAUACCCCGGUAGUCCACGCCGUAAACGAUGUCAACUAGCCGUUGGGGAUCUUGAAUCCUUAGUGGCGCAGCUAACGCACUAAGUUGACCGCCUGGGGAGUACGGCCGCAAGGUUAAAACUCAAAUGAAUUGACGGGGGCCCGCACAAGCGGUGGAGCAUGUGGUUUAAUUCGACGCAACGCGAAGAACCUUACCUGGCCUUGACAUGCAGAGAACUUUCCAGAGAUGGAUUGGUGCCUUCGGGAACUCUGACACAGGUGCUGCAUGGCCGUCGUCAGCUCGUGUCGUGAGAUGUUGGGUUAAGUCCCGUAACGAGCGCAACCC